GAAGUCACACCUUUGUUGUGUUUUCUUCUAACUUUGGCGGGAUCUGCUGAAUGCCUUGAAUGCUAUAGUUGUUCAAAUGUUGUUAGUUUGGAUAGUUGUAACACAACAAAAGCAUGUGGACUGGGUCAGUCGUGUUACCACAAUGUAUCGUCAACUGAACACAGUCUUUGAUGUGUUGAAAAUAAGCGUUGUGAUUCCCAUGCCUCAGUUUCUAGCACUAUAGUUGGACGAGAUAUUGUUGCUAGACAGACAAAAUGCUUCGAAUGUUGUUCUACUGAUCACUGCAACACGGCUUUGUGCCACCAUCUGGAACCCACGGUAUGUAUCGAUGAUGAAUCUAUGGACUGUGCAAAGCUUAAUUCUUUGUUCAGCGUUUGUAGUGACGUAAACCAUGCAAGAAACGUAUGCCCUAGAUUCUGUGGACUUUGUAUUG